AGAGUUUGAUCCUGGCUCAGAAUGAACGUUGGCGGCGUGGAUUAGGCAUGCAAGUCGAGCGCGAACCCCGCAAGGGGGGAGAGCGGCAAACGGGGUAGUAACGGGUAGGUGACGUACCCUCGGGUUGGGGAUAGCCACGGGAAACUGUGGGUAAUACCCAAUAAUCUCUUCACACGUGAUGGUGUGGGGAGCAAAGGUGUGAUUCCACCGGAGGAGCGGCCUGCCUCGUAUUAGCUAGUUGGUGAGGUAACGGCUCACCAAGGCAUCGAUGCGUAGGGGGUGUGAGAGCAUGACCCCCACCACUGGGACUGAGAUACUGCCCAGACACCUACGGGUGGCUGCAGUCGAGAAUCUUCGGCAAUGGGCGCAAGCCUGACCGAGCGACGCCGCGUGUGGGAUGAAGGCCCUUGGGUUGUAAACCACUGUCAGAGGGGAUGAAGUGCCAGCCAGUAAUCUGGUUGGUUUGACAUAGCCUCAGAG
rnacentral:rRNA from 1 species